UAACACACUCACCCCUAAGUCAAAACUGUAGCCUCCUUAAUCUUUUUUUUUUUUUUUUUUUUCUUUUUUUAUCUCUAUUUUUUUCUAUUUGUUGAAUUAGUAGAUGUAUUUCAACAAAGAAAAUUGAAUCUGAGGAGCGAUUCAUAAUAUUUUUUCUUUUGAUGCUCCGAUCUAAGAUGAGUUUCUUUCCCUUAUCUCUGUAGAUCUCUAUCGCGUUUCGUUGAAUCUUAGUGUUUUAACAUAACUUGAGAAAUCUGAUUGUUUGUUUUGGAUGAUUGAAACAUGAUACUGGAAAGAGGGAGAAAGUUGUGCAUCUAACUGAUAUCAAUUUUAUGGGAUAAAGUUGAAAAACCCCCGAUCCCAAAGACCAAUUUUUGUACUUUAAUUUCCCUGAUUUCAUAUGGUUUAUCUCGGUAUUCUUUUAUUUUUUUUAUGUUUUUUUUUGAAUUCCUUAAUCUCGAAUUCUUUCUCUUAGUAUUUUCUUCCCCUUGGGUUUAAAAAUUAGAUUUGAUUAUUUUGUUCUUCAAUAAUUCUAAUGUUUGUUUGUUAACAGAGAAUGAAAAGUAGGUUUUUCAAUUUUCCUUUCCAAUUGUUCUGAAUUUGUGUGGUUUUGAGGCUGGAUCUGUGUAUCUUAGGGUUUGAUUUUGGUAAUUAUUUUGAUUUUUGCAAAAUAAUGCAGGAUUACGUCGAUGCUCAUGCUGUGGAAGAUGAUGGAGGUUAACGUAGAGUUAAGUGUCGUUAUAUUGAAAACCUUUUAGGAAUUGCAUAUAUCAGCUUUUGGUGUGUGUUUUUGUUUUCAAACUACUGCUUAUGCUCUGUAUGACUCAGGUGAUGGACUCGGUGAAGGAUAUGAUAUGGUUGAUCAGGCUGGAAAUGGCAAGUUGCGUGUAUCAGUUGCUCAGAGCAAACUUGCUGUAAAAUUUGCUUAGAAGUCCAAGAUUAAAAGCUACGGAAGCGUUAGUGGUACUACCUCAGGCCUAACCUCAAGGAAAGAAGAGGCUUGCUGAAGUUGCUAACAAGAAGCCCAAUCUUGGACAAAAAUUUUAAAGUAGAAACUCCUCGGAAGUCGGGUGCUGAUGGCAAGAAAGGUGGUGUUGUUCGUCAAGGUACUCCUUACCCCAAGGGAGGAAAGACCCCUGCAAGUGGAGGCAAGUCAAACAAAUCUCUAAAAUCCAGUUUCAUCCGAUUCUUGUACAAAGGCAUUCGGUACUGACUCUGCUCUCCAGGCACACUCAAAUGUGUUUAAACACAACAAACUCAAUGUUAUUCCACAACAUAACAAACUCACGCAAAUUGAAUCCAAACAUGACGUGAUCGUUGGCAUCCCAGAUUCUGGUAUCUAGUCUGAGUCAGAGAGCUUUAAUGAGGAAGGAUUAGUUCAUUUUCACAAGAGGACUGCAAUAGGUUGCUGGUGAUCAGUUCACAGUCAAUUGUUUGUUUGUUCAGACACUUAAUUCUUGGUGCCUAGGAAGUUUGUUUUCAUACUUAGAAUGAUUAUUUUGUAAAUGUGUAUGUAUGAAUUGUGAAUGGCGGGUAGUUUGCAAAUUAAAAAUUCAAGACAGAUUGAAAAAUACAAAAUUGCAGGCAUGUGUUCGUUUUAGGUUCAGUUGUUGUAUUGCAGGCCUGUGCUACAGGUUUAAUUGUGCAGGCCUGUAAACUGGAAGGCCGGGUCCGUGAGAAUGACCUGGACUACCCAUUUUUUUUAA